GUUGGGGCAGCUGUUGUUGUUGUUGUUGUUGUUGGGGCAGGUGUUGUUGUUGUUGUUGUUGUUGGGGCAGGUGUUGUUGUUGUUGUUGUUGUUGGGGAAGGUGUUGUUGUUGUUGUUGGGGCAGGUGUUGUUGUUGUUGUUGGGGCAGGUGUUGUUGUUGUUGGGGCAGGUGUUGUUGUUGUUGUUGGGGCAGGUGUUGUUGUUGUUGUUGUUGGGGCAGGUGUUGUUGUUGUUGUUGAUGUUGGGGCAGGUGUUGUUGUUGUUGGGGCAGGUGUUGUUGUUGUUGUUGGGGCAGGUGUUGAUGUUGUUGUUGGGGCAGGUGUUGUUGUUGUUGGGGAAGGUGUUGUUGUUGUUGUUGUUGUUGGGGCAGGUGUUGUUGUUGUUGUUGUGGCAGGUGUUGUUGUUGUUGUUGGGGCAGGUGUUGUUGUUGUUGUUGUUGUUGGGGCAGGUGUUGUUGUUGUUGGGGCAGGUGUUGUUGUUGUUAUUGGGGCAGGUGUUGUUGAUGUUGUUGUUGGGGCAGGUGUUGUUGUUGUUGUAGGUGUUGUUGUUGUUGUUGUUGGGGCAGGUGUUGUUGUUGUUGUUGUUGGGGCAGGUGUUGUUGUUGUUGGGGCAGGUGUUGUUGUUGUUGUUGUUGUUGUUGGGGAAGGUGUUGUUGUUGUUGUUGUUGUUGUUGUUGUUGGGGCAGGUGUUGUUGUUGUUGGGGCAGAUGUUGUUGUUGGGGCAGGUGUUGUUGUUGUUGUUGGGGCAGGUGUUGUUGUUGUUGUUGUUGUUGUUGUUGGGGCAGGUGUUGUUGUUGUUGGGGCAGGUGUUGUUGUUGUUGGGGAAGGUGUUGUUGUUGUUGUUGUUGUUGUUGGGGCAGGUGUUGUUGUUGUUGGGGCAGGUGUUGUUGUUGUUGUUGUUGUUGUUGGGGAAGGUGUUGUUGUUGUUGGGGCAGGUGUUGUUGUUGUUGUUGGGGCAGGUGUUGUUGAUGUUGUUGUUGUUGUUGGGGCAGGUGUUGUUGUUGUUGGGGCAGGUGUUGUUGUUGUUGUUGUUGUUGUUGGGGCAGGUGUUGUUGUUGUUGUUGGGGCAGGUGUUGUUGUUGUUGUUGUUGUUGUUGGGGCAGGUGUUGUUGUUGUUGUUGUUGUUGUUGGGGCAGGUGUUGUUGUUGUUGUUGUUGUUGGGGCAGCUGUUGUUGUUGUUGUUGGGGCAGGUGUUGUUGUUGUUGUUGGGGAAGGUGUUGUUUUUGUUGUUGUUGUUGGGGCAGGUGUUGUUGUUGUUGUUGUUGGGGAAGGUGUUGUUGUUGUUGUUGUUGUUGGGGCAGGUGUUGUUGUUGUUGUUGUUGUUGGGGCAGGUGUUGUUGUUGUUGGGGCAGGUGUUGUUGUUGUUGUUGGGGCAGGUGUUGUUGUUGUUGUUGUUGGGGCAGGUGUUGUUGUUGGGGCAGGUGUUGUUGUUGUUGUUGUUGUUGGGGCAGGUGUUGUUGAUGUUGUUGUUGUUGUUGUUGUUGGGGCAGGUGUUGUUGUUGUUGGGGCAGGUGUUGUUGUUGUUGGGGCAGGUGUUGUUGUUGUUGUUGGGGCAGGUGUUGUUGUUGUUGUUGGGGCAGGUGUUGUUGUUGUUGUUGUUGUUGGGGCAGGUGUUGUUGUUGUUGUUGUUGGGGCAGCUGUUGUUGUUGUUGUUGGGGCAGGUGUUGUUGUUGUUGUUGUUGUUGGGGAAGGUGUUGUUGUUGUUGUUGUUGUUGGGGCAGGUGUUGUUGUUGUUGUUGUUGGGGAAGGUGUUGUUGUUGUUGUUGUUGUUGGGGCAGGUGUUGUUGUUGUUGUUGGGGCAGGUGUUUUUGUUGUUGUUGGGGCAGGUGUUGUUGUUGUUGUUGUUGUUGGGGCAGGUGUUGUUGUUGUUGUUGGGGAAGGUGUUGUUGUUGUUGUUGUUGGGGCAGGUGUUGUUGUUGUUGUUGUUGUUGUUGUUGUUGUUGGGGAAGGUGUUGUUGUUGUUGUUGUUGUUGUUGUUGGGGCAGGUGUUGUUGUUGUUGGGGCAGGUGUUGUUGUUGUUGUUGUUGGGGCAGGUGUUGUUGUUGUUGGGGCAGGUGUUGUUGUUGUUGUUGGGGCAGGUGUUGUUGUUGUUGGGGAAGGUGUUGUUGAUGUUGUUGUUGUUGUUGUUGUUGGGGCAGGUGUUGUUGUUGUUGGGGCAGGUGUUGUUGUUGUUGUUGUUGGGGCAGGUGUUGUUGUUGUUGUUGGGGCAGGUGUUGUUGUUGUUGUUGGGGCAGGUGUUGUUGUUGUUGUUGUGGGGCAGCUGUUGUUGUUGGGGAAGGUGUUGUUGUUGUUGUUGUUGUUGGGGAAGGUGUUGUUGUUGUUGUUGUUGUUGGGGCAGGUGUUGUUGGGGAAGGUGUUGUUGUUGUUGUUGUUGUUGGGGCAGGUGUUGUUGUUGUUGGGGCAGGUGUUGUUGUUGUUGUUGUUGUUGUUGGGGCAGGUGUUGUUGUUGUUGGGGCAGGUGUUGUUGUUGUUGUUGGGGCAGGUGUUGUUGUUGUUGGGGCAGGUGUUGUUGUUGUUGGGGCAGGUGUUGUUGUUGUUGUUGUUGUUGGGGCAGGUGUUGUUGUUGGGGCAGGUGUUGUUGUUGUUGGGGCAGGUGUUUUUGUUGUUGUUGGGGCAGGUGUUGUUGUUGUUGUUGUUGUUGGGACAGGUGUUGUUGUUGUUGUUGUUGGGGAAGGUGUUGUUGUUGUUGUUGUUGGGGCAGGUGUUGUUGUUGUUGGGGCAGGUGUUGUUGUUGUUGUUGUCGGGGAAGGUGUUGUUGUUGUUGUUGUUGGGGCAGGUGUUGUUGUUUUUGGGGAAGGUGUUGUUGUUGUUGUUGGGGCAGGUGUUGUUGUUGUUGUUGUUGGGGCAGGUGUUGUUGUUGUUGUUGUUGGGGCAGGUGUUGUUGUCGGGGAAGGUGUUGUUGUUGUUGUUGGGACAGGUGUUGUUGUUGUUGUUGUUGUUGGGGAAGGUGUUGUUGUUGUUGUUGUUGGGGCAGGUGUUGUUGUUGUUGGGGCAGGUGUUGUUGUUGUUGUUGUCGGGGAAGGUGUUGUUGUUGUUGUUGUUGUUGGGGCAGGUGUUGUUGUUGUUGGGGCAGGUGUUGUUGUUGUUGUUGUUGGGGCAGGUGUUGUUGUUGUUGGGGCAGGUGUUGUUGUUGUUGUUGGGGCAGGUGUUGUUGUUGUUGUUGUUGGGGCAGGUGUUGUUAUUGUUGUUGGGGCAGGUGUUGUUGGGGCAGGUGUUGUUGUUGGGGCAGGUGUUGUUGUUGUUGUUGGGGCAGGUGUUGUUGUUGUUGGGGCAGGUGUUGUUGUUGUUGUUGUUGUUGUUGUUGUUGUUGGGGCAGGUGUUGUUGUUGUUGUUGUUGUUGUUGUUGUUGGGGCAGGUGUUGUUGUUGGGGCAGGUGUUGUUGUUGUUGUUGGGGCAGGUGUUGUUGUUGUUGUUGGGGCAGGUGUUGUUGUUGUUGUUGUUGGGGAUGUUGUUGUUGUUGUUGUUGUUGUUGGGGCAGGUGUUGUUGUUGUUGGGGCAGAUGUUGUUGUUGGGGCAGGUGUUGUUGUUGUUGUUGGGGCAGGUGUUGUUGUUGUUGUUGUUGUUGGGGCAGGUGUUGUUGUUGUUGGGGAAGGUGUUGUUGUUGUUGUUGGGGAAGGUGUUGUUGUUGUUGUUGUUGGGGCAGGUGUUGUUGUUGUUGUUGUUGUUGGGGCAGGUGUUGUUGUGUUGGGGCAGUUGUUGUUGUUGUUGUUGUUGUUGUUGGGGAAGGUGUUGUUGUUGUUGGGGCAGGUGUUGUUGUUGUUGUUGGGGCAGGUGUUGUUGUUGUUGUUGUUGUUGGGGCAGGUGUUGUUGUUGUUGUUGGGGCAGGUGUUGUUGUUGUUGUUGUUGUUGUUGGGGCAGGUUGUUGUUGUUGUUGGGGCAGGUGUUGUUGUUGUUGUUGUUGUUGUUGGGGCAGGUGUUGUUGUUGUUGUUGUUGUUGUUGUUGGGGCAGGUGUUGUUGUUGUUGUUGUUGGGGCAGGUGUUGUUGUUGUUGUUGGGGCAGGUGUUGUUGUUGUUGUUGGGGCAGGUGUUGUUGUUGUUGUUGUUGGGGCAGGUGUUGUUGUUGUUGUUGUUGGGGAAGGUGUUGUUGUUGUUGUUGUUGUUGGGGCAGGUGUUGUUGUUGUUGUUGUUGUUGGGGCAGGUGUUGUUGUUGUUGGGGCAGGUGUUGUUGUUGUUGUUGGGGCAGGUGUUGUUGUUGUUGUUGUUGGGGCAGGUGUUGUUGUUGGGGCAGGUGUUGUUGUUGUUGUUGUUGGGGCAGGUGUUGUUGUUGUUGUUGUUGGGGCAGGUGUUGUUGAUGUUGUUGUUGUUGUUGUUGUUGGGGCAGGUGUUGUUGUUGUUGGGGCAGGUGUUGUUGUUGUUGGGGCAGGUGUUGUUGUUGUUGUUGGGGCAGGUGUUGUUGUUGUUGUUGGGGCAGGUGUUGUUGUUGUUGUUGGGGCAGGUGUUGUUGUUGUUGUUGUUGGGGCAGGUGUUGUUGUUGUUGUUGGGGCAGGUGUUGUUGUUGUUGUUGUUGUUGGGGAAGGUGUUGUUGUUGUUGUUGUUGUUGGGGCAGGUGUUGUUGUUGUUGUUGUUGGGGAAGGUGUUGUUGUUGUUGUUGUUGUUGGGGCAGGUGUUGUUGUUGUUGUUGGGGCAGGUGUUUUUGUUGUUGUUGGGGCAGGUGUUGUUGUUGUUGUUGUUGUUGGGGCAGGUGUUGUUGUUGUUGUUGGGGCAGGUGUUGUUGUUGUUGUUGUUGGGGCAGGGUGUUGUUGUUGUUGUUGUUGUUGUUGUUGUUGUUGUUGGGGAAGGUGUUGUUGUUGUUGUUGUUGUUGUUGGGGCAGGUGUUGUUGUUGUUGGGGCAGGUGUUGUUGUUGUUGUUGUUGGGGCAGGUGUUGUUGUUGUUGGGGCAGGUGUUGUUGUUGUUGUUGUGGGGCAGGUGUUGUUGUUGUUGGGGAAGGUGUUGUUGAUGUUGUUGUUGUUGUUGUUGGGGCAGGUGUUGUUGUUGUUGGGGCAGGUGUUGUUGUUGUUGUUGUUGUUGGGGCAGGUGUUGUUGUUGUUGUUGUUGUUGGGGCAGGUGUUGUUGUUGUUGUUGUUGGGGCAGGUGUUGUUGUUGGGGAAGGUGUUGUUGUUGUUGUUGUUGUUGGGGAAGGUGUUGUUGUUGUUGUUGUUGUUGGGGCAGGUGUUGUUGUCGGGGAAGGUGUUGUUGUUGUUGUUGGGACAGGUGUUGUUG